CGGAUGAAUUACUCUGCCGCGUCGUUUCGACCGCAUCUUCCACUGUUCUUAUUCAGAUAUGAGCCAACAGCAAAGAGCAGCUGCUCAUUUAAGGCAGGCAGCAGAUUUGUUGAAUGUCAACACAAGUGACAGUAGUACACAAUAGCAGCACCUGCACCAGUAACCUCUGUCAGUAGCACCAGUGCUGCAAAGGCAAUUUUUGCACCCGACAGUAAAAGAAGGAGGCAUGGACAUGCAAAUACAGGAACUGUGGCAGUGUCAGCACUGGACUAUUACACCCAGGUGUUAUCAGGUCCCUGGUUACAACUAAAGACCACCUGUUGAAGGAGCUAGACAGACCCGGGAGAGACACCAGCACAGAGGUGAAUCAGAUUCACUGGAGCUACAAGCAGGCUAAGAAAAAUCUUUAGGGACCAGUCUAAAUGUUUGGAUAAUGAUAAUAGAGUGUACUGUGUGUUUUAUUUCUAAGAAUUUUGGCCACUCUGUAUCCAAUAUCCGAAGUGGUAUUUAAAUAAGAUUUAGGAAAAAUAAGUCCAAUCUUAAUAAAAAAUAUUCUGCUAGUUGGAACAUAUUGAACUGUUUAUUCAAUCAUGCAGCCAUUUGUUGUUUGCCAUUUGAGCAUUUGGCAUGCUUAGGCUCAACAUAAUAUUAGAGAAAUUGAUUUAUUUCACAUUAUUUAACUUAUCUUGCGAUGAUUUUACAAGCAUAUUGUUCACACAUCUUGUACAUUGGUAAGCAGAUAUGUUCCUGCUAAAUUUCAAAGGUGUAUUUUUUAGUAAAAAUGUCUUACCUUUCUAUUUUGUUGUGCUGACAUUGGGACAUUAGUUCAUAAUUUGUUUGCAGUGAACGGCCUAGGUUAAGUAGACCUGGUAUUCAGUCAAAUUGAGCUGCGUUCUGGGGAAAUUGGCUUUAUGCAUGAGUGUGAAGUGUCAUCCCAGAUUAGCUUAUGUGGUCCACACGUUCUUAUCCGGGACAACAAUUUCGGCCUAGACUGGAUUUUCUUUUUCAAAAUACUUUCUUUUAACGAAAAAUCUCAUAAAACCAGAAAGUUUCUUCCCUGACUAGCCUGUGUGGACUGUACAAGUUAAUCUGCGACAACACUUUAGGAACAUGCAUUAAACCCCAUUUUCCCCAGAGCAAGGGUCAAUUGUAUGUUUUUCCUUUCAAUAUUCAAAUGCCCUUUAUUUAAGGAUCAUACAGAUUCUAAAUGCCUAUUUAUUGUAAGCUGACUAUUCAGUCAUAACCAAAAAGCGUCCUAAGAUCUUUGUUAAAGACAGGACACUGAAUUCUAGCAUUUAAUGAGGUUAAGUGCUUUUCCACACUUAUUCUAUGUCUUUUAUAAGUAAUAGGUGAGCACUUAACACGUGUAAAAAUAAGUUUGGCAAACAAAAUGACAGGUAUUAAUUUCUUUGUGGUUUAAUUGCAUUUAUUUUACACAAAAUUAUAAAACCAUGAUGAAGUAUAUGUAAUUAACAAAUAUAAAUCAGUUUAUUUAUUAAGCAUCCAUGCAUUUACAUAUAACCGGACAGUAGUGCAAUCUCACAUGUAUAUGUAGGUUUUUAACUUAUAUUGCACCAGUGUAGAUAUUGUUUUGAAAACAAUUGUAUGAUCAUGGUAAAGUUGCAUAUGUCUAGUCAUAAGCAGUAUGUGUGGGAUACACUAGCAACAGGACCGGAGAGAUCAUUUUGUUUUCACAUGAUGUUUAUAUAAUGUGUGUUUCAUCCUAAUAUUUAUUUAACCAGUAUGCCAUGUAAUGCAUAUAUUUUCUAAUAAAAUUGUA